GACGAACGCUGGCGGCGUGCUUAACACAUGCAAGUCGAACGGAAAGGCCCUGCUUUUGUGGGGUGCUCGAGUGGCGAACGGGUGAGUAACACGUGAGUAACCUGCCCUUGACUUUGGGAUAACUUCAGGAAACUGGGGCUAAUACCGGAUAGGAGCUCCUGCUGCAUGGUGGGGGUUGGAAAGUUUCGGCGGUUGGGGAUGGACUCGCGGCUUAUCAGCUUGUUGGUGGGGUAGUGGCUUACCAAGGCUUUGACGGGUAGCCGGCCUGAGAGGGUGACCGGCCACAUUGGGACUGAGAAACGGCCCAGACUCAUACGGGAGGCAGCAGUGGGGAAUAUUGCACAAUGGGCGGAAGCCUGAUGCAGCAACGCCGCGUGCGGGAUGACGGCCUUCGGGUUGUAAACCGCUUUCGCCUGUGACGAAGCGUGAGUGACGGUAAUGGGUAAAGAAGCACCGGCUAACUACGUG
rnacentral:rRNA from 1 species